rnacentral:snRNA from 1 species
AUCGCUUCUGGGCCUUUUGGCUAAGAUCAAGUGUAGUAUUUGUUCUUAUCAGUUUAAUAUCUGAUACGUCCUCUAUCCAAGGACAAUAUAUUAAUACAAGAGGAAGUGAGGGGAAAGGGAAAAAUA